CUGGCCUCCGCGGGGAGACCCCCGCCCGGGGCUCCGAGGCCGGGCGGCCACCCGCGGGGAAGCCCAGCCCUCCUCCAGACCCACUCGCUCCUCCGCCCUGCAGGGGGAGAGGGCUGAGGAGCGGGCGGCGGGAGGAGAGGGCAGCGCGACCCCCGGCCGCCGCCGCCGCCGCCGCCGCCGCCGCCGCCGCCUACCCCUACGCCACCUCGAGGGAGGGGGACACGGCUCUCCGCACUCGCGGCCGGACCAGCAGCCACCGGAGCGGGGCGCCGCCGCCGCUCUCCCCGCCCGCGCCCGCACCCCCAGCCCGGGCGCGCCCCCUCGCCUGGCGGGCGCCCACCGGCCCGGCAGCCCCCUGCCGUCAGUCCCUGCGCCCCGCGCGGGGGUGUCGGCCCGGGAGGCUGGAGCGGGAGAAGGUUGUAUGUACACACACACACACACACACACACACACACACACACACACACACCACACAAAGACGCGUCGAUUUCCUUCGCUCCUCUUCCAGCUGUUUUCGGUGCCGGCGACUGGGGUUUGGGGUUUGUUUGCUGGUUGUUGCUUUUGCCCCUCUGGAGAGCGGGGGUCUGGAAAUCUGCUUUGGGUACUGAAGUCCCCAGCCCCAGCCUUGGAAGAAGACCCGCGCACUCCUUUCGCAGCUGAUUCGGGAUCAUUAAUUUAAUCGGAAAUGAGGUGUGGCUCCUGGAGAAGAGGGAAGGCACCUCCGUGCUGAAGGGAGCUCAGUGCGGCGUUCUCCUUGCUGCAGAUAAUUCUGGAAGACCAGUAGGUGUCGGGGCAGCAUUUGACCUCUUUCAGGUGCUUAGAACCAAGUGUCUAGAAACAUGAUCUUUCCACAUAAGUUUCUCUCUGGAAGCCACCACUAUUGACUGUAAGCUGUAUUUGAGAAACCUUUGGCUGAGUUUACGUAUGACCUAACGGUUAGUCACCAACCGAAGCAGGAUACAGAAUCACCAAGAGAAAUGUGUCAGCUUUUAAACAACUGUAUUGUAGAGCCAACGUGCUACAGAAAUAAAAAUAAGCAUACUAACAACUAGGAAGGUGUAGAGCCCCGGAAAUAAUUUUUUUUCUCGCAUUUUGAAAUACCAUGCACAUAUACAUGGCUAUUUAAAUAAAACUACUACUGUUCACUCUGACUCGGUUCUAAAACUUUUUUUUUUCCUUUUUCAUUUAAAACGCAAUGAUUGCUACAGUUUAAACCCCAGGUCGGUUUAAAGUGACAUUGUUGGUCUCAUUACAGCCUCUAGUGGACAGUUGAAAUCAGUUUCCUGAAAAGGCUCUUCCUGGCGUUUUGUUGUUGACAAGCGUUAUCAAGGUGAAGGCUAAGAUCUCAGAACAGAACCGGAGACUGGCUCCUCCCCCUGCUUGGUGGAUUCCGCUCUCGAAAGGAUCAGAAGCAGUCGGUUCGGCACCGAAAAGACGAAUGCUUUGUGCUAUGGGCAUUAUUAUUACUGGCCUGUGAAUAAACAGAGCUUCUGCUAUUCAUUUCAGUUUCGGACAGCUUUCAUAUAAACUAACUUCAUCUAACGUAUUUUUGUAACAGAAAAUAUUGGUUGCCAUGUUUUUCUUCUGCGGACUGCCCAAUCCACCUCCACUCUAUUUUUAGACAUUUUUACUUUGAGAGAAUUUUCAGCCAAAAACAGCUAAUAUUUUAAUUAUUACACUGACACAGGCAGUUAAUUUAAGUUAUUUUAACAACCUUAAAUUAAAACACAUAAUUCAGAUUAGACUAAGUCAAUUAAUUUAAAUGUUCCCUUAAGGAAGCUGAAUAUGUAUAUUACCCAAACAGUAAAAACAAUAAGAAAUGUGUCAUUUACUUUCUUAGCUAUUAAGAUUAAAGCCAUAAAGUGUCAUUAAAGUCUGUAACUAUUCCUUCCUGCAAGGUGCCACGGAAACUAUUCUCCUGAUACAGUUUCGUUACCUUUAGUACUGCAUUAUUUUCAGAUGGCAAAAUAUUAAAUGUACAAAUAACUGACACUCAUUCUUUAAAAAUAAGGCUCUGUCAUGCAGAUAAAAACUCCAUGAAAGGGCUGGGCUUUCAAGAAGCCAGUAGGCAAAUAUGUAGUACUACGGUCCUAUUCAUAAAUCUGAUACUGUGUUCAUACAAACAUAAGUCAAACUUUAAAAUUAAAGGAAAUUGAGACGUAAGGCCUGCCUAGCCUUACUCCUAGUCUGUGUUCUGCAUUGCUCAAACACCAUGGAAAAUGAUUUUUUAUCCCUUAUAUCUACUUCAUUGUUUUGAUAGUAUCUACUUUUGAGGGCUUAAAGUAGGCUAUCAGUAUAUAUGAUAUCCUAUCGUUAUGUAUUACAUCUUGCUUCUUAAAAGCCUUAUCUUCAGAGUAGUGGUAGCAGCAGCUGGGAGCUUUUUAGAAAUUCAGAAUGAGAGUUCCACCCCAGACCUACUGAAUCACAAUCUGCCUUUUAGCCAGCACCCCUGGUGAUUUCCAAGCACGCUGUAGUAUGAAGAACACUGUCCAUACUACAGGGCUCUGUCUAGGUGCAUUUGCCCACGGAUGUAGAACUUAAUUCUUCUAUUUAUUCCUUUGGUAUUCCCUCCGCCUUUAACUAAUUUGCACUUUUUAAUGAAACACAAUUACACUGUAUGCUUUGGUCAGAUAGUACUGUAGUUCAGACAAGAGCCCUGAUUUCAUGCGCAAA
rnacentral:lncRNA from 1 species